UAAGAGGUCCAGCCUGCCCGGUGACAUAGUUUAACGGCCGCGGUACUCUGACCGUGCGAAGGUAGCAUAAUCACUUGUUCUUUAAAUGGGGACUAGUAUCAACGGCAUCACGAGGGCUUCACUGUCUCCUUUUUCCAAUCAGUGAAACUGAUCUCCCCGUGAAGAAGCGGGAAUCACACUAUAAGACGAGAAGACCCCAUGGAGCUUUAAACCCAAUAACAUCCCUAACCUUCUUUCCCACUAAAGUUUUUCAGCUCUGUCUAUUGGUUUUAGGUUGGGGCGACCGCGGAGUAAAACACAACCUCCACAACGCAUGGAACUAACACCACAUCCGAGAGCCACCUCUCAAAGAAUCAACAAAUUGACGUAAAUGAUCCAAUUAUUUUGAUCAAUGAACCAAGUUACCCUGGGGAUAACAGCGCAAUCCAUUUCAAGAGCUCCUAUCGACAAGUGGGUUUACGACCUCGAUGUUGGAUCAGGGUAUCCCAGUGGUGCAGCCGCUACUAACGGUUUGUUUGUUCAACAAUUAAA
rnacentral:rRNA from 1 species